UACAGAGGUCUCGAGCGUUGUUCGGAUUCAUUGGGCGUAAAGGGUGCGUAGGUGGCGCUGUAAGUCGGGUGUGAAAUCCUGAGGCUUAACCUCGGAACUGCCUUCGAUACUGGCAAUCUCGAGUCCGGAAGAGGUUGGUGGAACAGCUAGUGUAGAGGUGAAAUUCGUAGAUAUUAGCUAGAACACCAGUGGCGAAGGCGGCCAACUGGUCCAGUACUGACGCUGAGGUGCGAAAGCGUGGGGAGCAAACAGG
rnacentral:rRNA from 1 species